rnacentral:rRNA from 1 species
CUACGGGGGGCACCAGUGGGGAAUAUUGGACAAUGGGGGAAACCCUGAUCCAGCAAUGCCGCGUGUGUGAAGAAGGCCUGCGGGUUGUAAAGCACUUUCGGUUGGGAGGACUGCUUCUAGCACUAAUAUUGUUGGAAGUUGACGUUACCUUCAGAAGAAGCACCGGCUAACUCUGUGCCAGCAGCCGCGGUAAUACGGAGGGUGCAAGCGUGAAUCGGAAUUACUGGGCGUAAAGCGCGCGUAGGCGGCUAGAUCAGUCGGGUGUGAAAGCCCCGGGCCUAACCUGGGAACUGCAUCCGAUACUGUCUAGCUUGAGUACAGGAGAGGAGAGUGGAAUUCCACAUGGAGCGGUGAAAUGCGUAGAUAUGUGGAGGAACACCAAUGGCGAAGGCAGCUCUCUGGCCUGAUACUGACGCUGAGGUGCGAAAGCGUGGGGAGCAAACAGGAUUAGAUACCCCAGUAGUC